rnacentral:rRNA from 1 species
UACGUAGGGCGCAAGCGUUAUCCGGAAUUAUUGGGCGUAAAGAGCUCGUAGGCGGUUUGUCGCGUCUGCCGUGAAAGCCCGGGGCUCAACUCCGGAUCUGCGGUGGGUACGGGCAGACUAGAGUGAUGUAGGGGAGACUGGAAUUCCUGGUGUAGCGGUGAAAUGCGCAGAUAUCAGGAGGAACACCGGUGGCGAGGGCAGGUCUCUGGGCAUUAACUGACGCUGAGGAGCGAAAGCAUGGGGAGCGAACAGG